UGGGGAAUUUUGGACAAUGGGCGAAAGCCUGAUCCAGCAAUGCCGCGUGUGUGAAGAAGGCCUUCGGGUUGUAAAGCACUUUUGUCCGGAAAGAAAUCCUUGGCUCUAAUACAGUCGGGGGAUGACGGUACCGGAAGAAUAAGCACCGGCUAACUACGUGCCAGCAGCCGCGGUAAUACGUAGGGUGCAAGCGUUAAUCGGAAUUACUGGGCGUAAAGCGUGCGCAGGCGGUUUGCUAAGACCGAUGUGAAAUCCCCGGGCUCAACCUGGGAACUGCAUUGGUGACUGGCAGGCUAGAGUAUGGCAGAGGGGGGUAGAAUUCCACGUGUAGCAGUGAAAUGCGUAGAGAUGUGGAGGAAUACCGAUGGCGAAGGCAGCCCCCUGGGCCAAUACUGACGCUCAUGCACGAAAGCGUGGGGAGCAAACAGGAUUAGAUACCCUGGUAGUCCACGCCCUAAACGAUGUCAACUAGUUGUUGGGGAUUCAUUUCCUUAGUAACGUAGCUAACGCGUGAAGUUGACCGCCUGGGGAGUACGGUCGCAAAAUUAAAACUCAAAUGAAUUGACGGGGUCAUAGCUG
rnacentral:rRNA from 1 species